rnacentral:rRNA from 1 species
CCUACGGGUGGCAGCAGUGGGGAAUAUUGCACAAUGGGGGGAACCCUGAUGCAGCAAUGCCGCGUGAAGGAUGAAGGUUUUCGGAUUGUAAACUUCUUUUGUACGGGACGAAGAAAGUGAUGGUACCGUAAGAAUAAUCCACGGCUAACUACGUGCCAGCAGCCGCGGUAAUACGUAGGUGGCAAGCGUUAUCCGGAUUUACUGGGUGUAAAGGGCGAGUAGGCGGAAUGCCAAGUCAGCGGUAAACUCGCGGGGCUCAACCUCGCUCCGCUGUUGAAACUGGCGUUCUUGAGUGGGCGAGAAGUAUGCGGAAUGCGUGGUGUAGCGGUGAAAUGCAUAGAUAUCACGCAGAACUCCGAUUGCGAAGGCAGCAUACCGGCGCCCAACUGACGCUGAAGCACGAAAGCGUGGGGAUCGAACAGGAUUAGAUACCCUUGUAGUC